GCGCACCAGGCGAGAAACUUUACAAUGUGCGAAAGCACGAUAAGGGAACUCUGAGUGCCUCCUAAGGAGGCUGUUCAGGUGUCUAAAAGCACCUGAAGGAAGGGCUGGGUAAGACCGGUGCCAGCCGCCGCGGUAACACCGGCAGCCCAAGUGGUAGCCACGUUUAUUGGGUCUAAAGCGUCCGUAGCCGGCUGGGUAAGUUCCUUGGGAAAUUUGGCUGCUUAACAGUCAAGCUUUCAGGGAAUACUGCCCGGCUUGGGACCGGGAGAGGUCAGAGGUACUCCAGGGGUAGGGGUGAAAUCCAUUAAUCCUUGGGGGACCACCGGUAGCGAAGGCGUCUGACCAGACCGGGUCCGACGGCGAGGGACGAAGGCUAGGGGCGCGAACCGGAUUAGAUA
rnacentral:rRNA from 1 species